rnacentral:rRNA from 1 species
GGAUUAGAUACCCUGGUAGUCCACGCCGUAAACGAUGGGUACUAGUUGCUGGGGAUAAUAGUCUUCGGUGACGAAGUUAACGCAUUAAGUACCCCGCCUGGGGAGUACGGUCGCAAGAUUAAAACUCAAAGGAAUUGACGGGGGCCCGCACAAGCGGUGGAGUAUGUGGUUUAAUUCGAUGCAACGCGGAGAACCUUACCUGGGCUUGACAUCCAACGCUAUCCAUAGAGAUAUGGAGUUUGAUAGUAAUAUCGACGUUGAGACAGGUGGUGCAUGGUUGUCGUCAGCUCGUGCCG